rnacentral:snRNA from 1 species
AUCACUUCUUGGCCUUUUGGCUAAGAUCAAGUGUAGUAUGUUAAGGACGGCUAUUUUUAGGUCUGUAUCUUUC